UCUCCGUAGGUGAACCUGCGGAAGGAUCAUUACAGAGUUCAUGCCCUCACGGGUAGAUCUCCCACCCUUGAAUAUUUAUACCUUAGUUGCUUUGGCAGGCCGUGGAAACACCGUGGGCUCCGGCUUAUGCGUGCCUGCCAGAGGAAACAAACUCUGUUUUUAGUGAUGUCUGAGUACUAUAUAAUAGUUAAAACUUUCAACAACGGAUCUCUUGGUUCUG
rnacentral:misc_RNA from 1 species